rnacentral:rRNA from 1 species
GACGAACGCUGGCGGCGUGCUUAACGCAUGCAAGUCGAACGGAGCACCCUUGACUGAGGUUUCAGCCAAAUGAUAGGAAUGCUUAGUGGCGGACUGGUGAGUAACGCGUGAGGAACCUGCCUUUCAGAGGGGGACAACAGUUGGGAACGACUGCUAAUACCGCAUGACGCAUCUUGAUCGCGUGGUCGAAAUGCCAAAGAUUUAUCGCUGAAAGAUGGCCUCGCGUCUGAUUAGCUAGUUGGUGAGGUAACGGCCCACCAAGGCGACGAUCAGUAGCCGGACUGAGAGGUUGAACGGCCACAUUGGGACUGAGAUACGGCCCAGACUCCUACGGGAGGCAGCAGUGGGGAAUAUUGGGCAAUGGGCGCAAGCCUGACCCAGCAACGCCGCGUGAAGGAAGAAGGCUUUCGGGUUGUAAACUUCUUUUAAGUGGGAAGAGCAGAAGACGGUACCACUUGAAUAAGCCACGGCUAACUACGUGCCAGCCGCCGCAGUAA